AACGGAAAGGCCCUGCUUGCAGGGUACUCGAGUGGCGAGCGGGUGAGUAACACGUGGGUGAUCUGCCCUGCACUUCGGGAUAAGCUUGGGAAACUGGGUCUAAUACCGGAUAGGAGCCAUCUUUAGUGUGGUGGUUGGAAAGUUUUUUCGGUGUAGGAUGAGCUCGCGGCCUAUCAGCUUGUUGGUGGGGUAAUGGCCUACCAAGGCGGCGACGGGUAGCCGGCCUGAGAGGGUGUACGGCCACAUUGGGACUGAGAUACGGCCCAGACUCCUACGGGAGGCAGCAGUGGGGAAUAUUGCACAAUGGGCGCAAGCCUGAUGCAGCGACGCCGCGUGGGGGAUGAAGGCCUUCGGGUUGUAAACUCCUUUCGCUAGGGACGAAGCUUUUUUGUGACGGUACCUAGAUAAGAAGCACCGGCUAACUACGUGCCAGCAGCCGCGGUAAUACGUAGGGUGCGAGCGUUGUCCGGAAUUACUGGGCGUAAAGGGCUCGUAGGUGGUUUGUCGCGUCGUCUGUGAAAUUCUGGGGCUUAACUCCGGGCGUGCAGGCGAUACGGGCAUAACUUGAGUGCUGUAGGGGUAACUGGAAUUCCUGGUGUAGCGGUGAAAUGCGCAGAUAUCAGGAGGAACACCGAUGGCGAAGGCAGGUUACUGGGCAGUUACUGACGCUGAGGAGCGAAAGCAUGGGUAGCGAACAGGAUUAGAUACCCUGGU
rnacentral:rRNA from 1 species